rnacentral:lncRNA from 1 species
CCCUUUAAAACAUCCCCCUGGCCAGGAAGUUUCCCAUUGUCGAUUGCUCUUUAAGUAUUCAUUUACAUUGCUUUCGAUGUUUCCAGAAAAGUCAAUCUAAAUGCAACAGACAUGGGAGUAAAUGUUGGUUAAGUCUUUCAUCAGUAAAUAUGUUAAUGUGACUAAAACUGUUUGCCUAACACAUGGGACAUCAUUUCCUCAUGCCAGGGGAAAGAGACACCAAUAAACACUGGCUGUGUAAAGAGCCAACAAUUGUUUGAACACUUCAAAUUACUGUACACUUUUUUUCAUAUCUUGUUGGUAGGGGCCUUGACUGGGGCCUUGUCUCCCUCUCCACUAAACUCUUCCCCUCUUGUAUGGAUAUUCAGGCUAUAGACAUCAAUUUUUAUUCCACCCACCAGGAACUGAACAGGACACCACUCAAAAUAAUUUUACAUAUUUCAGUCUUAAAAUUUUUGAAAACUGAUGUCAUUUGGAACAUGAAGCUGGGAUGAUUUGUGUAGCCCUUCCCCAAAUAUCUCUAUAAAGAGUUUCAAAGAGUGAGUAGUUCUAUUAACUUUGUUGCAGCAGUAACAACUUCCAAGUUUACAGUUUAAUAAGCUUUUCAUUAAUCUUUAAAUGUGCUCCAAAGCCUUAUUUGUUUUAGAAUGAAAAUAUAUUUAUAGGGCCAGGGUCAAGUUUGGACUAACUACUAUAAAUCUAUUAUUCUAAGAGAAAUAUAGUUAUUUUUUUUCCUUUAGAAAGGGGGAGUGGCCACUUAAACUCAUAGAAAGUAAUAUUUUUAACAAGCAAAAGCUAUUAAUGUAAUUUUUAUAUCUUACUUUUAAGGUUUUUUUCAUCCUCUUUGCCCCAAAUUCAAGAAUGUAACAUUAAUGUAUUAAAUCUUAUAUGUUAUUUCCAAGCUCUAGCAAAUAUAGUUACACUGAGUUAAUCAAUCGAAACCUUGCUGAAUACUGGACCUUCUAGUAAAAACCAGCUCAGCUAAGACUUGUAUAUGAGUGUUUUUCAGAGCUUUUCUUGUUUGUUCUUUAGCACACCAAAGAAGGUCAGAAAAGUUCAGAAAGACCAUGAGGGAUGCAGUAGAUCCUUUCUUGAUCCGCUACAUGCCCUCAAGACUGUCUCCCUCUGUUUAAUAGAAGGGCCACACAGCCUGCUCCCUAUAACUUGCAGAAAAUGGGUUCAGGACUGGUUUCUCUCUACAAUACGGUGUGUCAAACAUCAAAUAAAAUAAAAUAGAGGGAUGUUCAAACUACCAUCCCAUGGGUGCUGAAGGCAUUCUGGUCUACUUCGCUCCAGAAGACAAAUGUAUUGUAUGUGUGUAUAUAUGGUAGUGGUCUGACAACAUUGGUCUCGUAAUUUCACCAGUGUUUUCUUCCAUCGGGAAAGAAGCUCCCAUUUUUCUGCCUCACUUUCAAGAUACUUCAUAAUUUAUUUUGAAUUUAUUUUGGUAGUGGUUUUGAUGGCACCAUAGGGCUACAAAAUGGCUAAGGGUAAUAUUUUUUUCUUUCUGUUACAGAUCUCUACAUUUCCCUAUCUGUGCUUCCUAAGCUGAAAAAAACUUCAUAGGAUGAAUCGGUAAUUGAAGCAUUGAAUUAUCGGAGGCCUGGGCCCCUCCAUGAGGAUCUCAUUAAAAAAAUUCUUCUCCUUUGAUUUUUUUGGGGGGUGGGUGGGGGAAGGCAGGGGAAUGACAGCAAUUUCAUUUCAGCAUAAUUGAAUUCAAAUUAUGUUAAAAUGCAGAAAUGUGUAGCAUUCCACUAAUAUAUGAAAUAAAAUACUAUCAGGAUGG